AUGACCCCAAAACAGAGUCACAAUCCAGAAGAUAAUGCUGUAUUUGAAGCCGUCACUGAAGUGCCAACUAGUGAGAAGCCGGUUCUAGUGGUAGAUGUGUCUGUUGCUGCUGGUUCUGCCGCUCCUGAACAUGCUGAAGCCGCCUAUUGCAUUUCAGAAUCCAACAAAGUCGAAGAAAAUCAUGUAAAUGCGGAGCCUAGGAGAAAGAAUAAUGAAAGUGAUCAUGGUGUAGUGCCUUCUGAUAAGGAAAUACAGAACAAUGUGCCUGGUGACAUGGAGGAAAGCUCCGAGCAACAUGAAGGUGAUGGAGCACCUGCAGUUGACCAGCCCAAUAACACAUCUGAAAUGCUCCCAGAAACAGGAGAGCAGUUUCCUGACAGUGGAAAUAGCCCAGACAUCAACUUAGAGGCUGCUAGUUUGGGGAAUGUUGAUCAGGGUGCUAGAUACCGCCUCCCACCUCUUGAUAAAGGCAGGUUUCAAGUUGCUGAUCUUGUCUAGGGUAAAGUGAAAAGUCAUCCUUGGCGGCCUGGUGAAAUUUUUGAUCCAACAGAUGCAUCUGAAUUGGGGCUGAAGCAUCAGAAAAAGGCAGCCACUUGGUAGCUUAUUUUGGUGACAUUAUUUUUGCAUGGUGCGAUGAAUCCCAGUUGAAGCCUUUUGUAACAAAUUAUUCACAAAUGGAGAAGCAGAGCAGUUCAGAUGCCUUUGUUGGGUUAGUUAAUAAUGCACUUGAAGAACUGUCAAGGCGGGUACUGUCCGGUUUGAGCUGCUCUUGUUUGCCAGAAGAGCUUGCUGAUAAUGGUAUGUCAUAUACGGUUGAUAAUGCUGGGCUCAAAGAUGGAGUUACUUGUUCUGCAGUUAAUCGGCCUGAGAUCUUGAACUAUUUUAGUCCUAAAUCCUCCUAUAACAGUUAUAUCUUUAUUUUUCUAAAGCGUUUCUUCUUGAACAAAAUUUAUUACCUUAUUCCUAAGAAGAACUUGCUGCAGUGUUCUUCUACAUAG